rnacentral:lncRNA from 1 species
ACACACAGAGACACACCGCGACACACACACACACACGCGCGCAUACACACAGCCCGACACACACGCACGCGCGCUUCUUAAAGGAGACGGCUCAUAAAGGAUUCCCCACUACGCCAGCAGAGGGGAAGAGGAGCCCACGGGAAAGAAAAGCAGGCGAGGUUAAGAAUAAAGAGUGUUCCAGGAUAGCACAGAAGCAGAGACUUUAAGUCUAAACAGACCUAGAUUCAGAGCCGACCCGAUGCUGCUUGAAGAAGGCUGGAGGUAUGUUAAGGAGACAAGGGCUGUCAAGAAGCAGGGAUGUCUCUGGAAAGGUUCCCCUUGCUGCUGCCAUGUGAAGAAGGACAUGUUUGCUUCCCCUUCUGCCAUCAUUGUUAUUCAUGUUAGGCUCCUGAAAACACCACAAGGACCUACCCUCCGGGAGCCAGCCAGAGAACCCUUCUUCCUGCACUGUCUCCGUUAUGCCCAACAUUUCUGGGCAUAAGUUUUAAUAAACCUUACCUGGGAAAAGUUUGUUUGGCCUCGUGUUAAUUGCUAUUAUAUGGAGAGCCAAGAAUCUCGAACCAGUAAGAGUUGUGAAGUCACCCUCAAUAUUUCCCAAGUCUUCAAAGGAAUUGAGACACUAUAAUCAUUACCCAGGACUCCACGCUUGUCAAAUUUGUUGAUGACCUCCUACUUUGCAACCAAACUGAAUAGAAUGCUUGUAUAGACUCCCUAAUCCUUCUGAAGGUACUGACUGAGCAAGGCUACAAAGCCUCCAAAUCUAAAUGUCCAUGGGUACAGACAACUGACUUAUUUAGGCCAUAAAGCAUCUCGGAGCACUAAAAAACUCACAGUAAAAUAUCUUGAAGGAAUUUUGACAAUCUUUUCUUAAGAAGAAAGAAAAAAAACCAGAAAUUUUUAGAGGCAGCUGGUUAUUGCCAUCAAUGGAUUCUUAAUUUUGCCAUCCUAGCCAAGCCUUUAUAUGUUUUCCUCUCAGGUAUAACCUCAGAACCCCUUUUAUGGCCCUCUGAGACACUGGCCUCCUUUGAAGCAUUAAAAUAAGCAUUAUCUACACCCCCAGCUCUCAGUUUAUCCAAUUUUGACAAACCUUUUCAACAAUAUUGCCAUGAAAUUAAUGAGAUUGUUGCUAGUAUUCUAGAACAGCCGUUUGUCUCUCAAUUACUUUUUAUGGCAUAUUUCUUAUUUCGAUCAACCCUGUGACAUCAGGCAUGCCUCCAUGCCUGUGUGCGAAAGCCACAGCUGCCACCCUAAUGGAAAAAGCCUUUAUUCUUACAUUAGGCCUCCCUACUCACCUCUAUGUUACCCUUGAUGUGUCAGCGCUCUUACAAGCUCAUAAAACACAGCACCCUCUUUAUACAAUGGCAGACCACUGAUGAACAGGACCUAUUAACAAUUCUCUCUCUAUUGUAUCAUUGUAACACCCUGAACCGUGCUAUUCUAUUACUCCUCCUUGAUGAUGGACAGCCCAUUCUAUUCUACGUGAUUCCUUUGUAGCUAUAUAAAUGGUCUCAAAACUAUGAUUUUUUAGACAUCUUCUUAGACAGUCCAGACUUCUGUUUUGUCAUGGCUGUCAAGCAGAAUUCUCACCGAUACAUAGUAACUGACUGUGCCAUGGUUUCCUUAAAUGAAACACUUGAGACAAAUUCUGCCUUCUAUAUAAUCAGCCUGAACCACUGAGUCUAGAUCUUACACGAGCCUUGGCAAAGAGAAAACUGACACUAUUUACACUUGAGAUGUGCUUUGGACUCUGCCAUACUGUUGGCUGUAUUGAAAAGUCCCGUUUCUGACCUCUGCUGGUACCCCUAUUGCCAAUGGCCAUGUAAUUGUUAACCUAUUACGCCUAUUCAUCUUCUAAUUGAGGUUGCUUUUGUUUAUUGUUGGCACAUGCCAAGGAGACUGACACUGUAUCUCUGGUAGACAAUACGUCUGACAAAGCUGCCAAACAUGAACCCCCAACUCUGGCAAUAACCCAUUUUUUAACCCAGCUUACAACCCUGCCUUUAACACUUACUGACGUCAAUAAUAUUUGGCAGAUACCCUACAAUGAAAAAAAAGGCUGCAAGAAGAUUCCAGACAAUUGUUAGAAGGAUUAUACGUUGGACCAAAUGGACUUCCUAUAGUCCUUUAUCUUUUAUUGUUUUGUGCUUCUAUUUAUUGCCCAUCAAAUGGAAUAUAUGUGUAAAGAAGGGCAAAUCAAAGAGGUAAAUGACAGUGAUUUUGCCCUGGAAUCCACAGAAUUUCUGAUCAAAUUAUUUACCAAUGUAUUACUUGUAAAUCUUAUGAUAUUUCUGGAUGUAAGUAGCAUACCCCAUGAAAUCCUCUGAGACCCACAUUCCCUUUGCAACACUCCUGGUGGACUUUAUAGAUUUCCCUCAGGAUUCAGGUUAUUCUCAUUAUAGGUUGACUAUACCUAAUCUGAAAAUCCAAAAUCUGAAAUGAUACAAAUCCAAAACGUUAUGAGUGUUGUCAUAAUGCUCAAUGGAAAUGCUCAUGAAAGCAUUUUUUAUUUAAGGUCUUUGGAUUAAGGAUGCUCAUCCAGUAAAUAUGAUACAGCUAUUCCAGUGUCCAAAACUAUCCCAAAUCUGAAACACUUCUGGUCCCACCCAAGCAUUUCAGAUAAGGAAUACUCAACUCAUAAUUGGUGAUUACCUGCACAGUUAGUAGAUGGACUGAGUACUAUCCAACUAGACAUGCUGAUGCCACAUGGUAGUAAUGAAAAAAAAAAUUGAGAUUAUUCUUCAUUUUGGCAUUACUUAAUGUAUUAAAUCAGACCAAGGAACUCACUUAACAACAGAAGUAAAUCACAUGUUCACAAAAACUCUAGGAUAGUCAUUAAAAUUCUAUACUCUUUACCAUCCUCAGUCCUCAGAGAGGUGGAAUGUGAUAAUUUAGACAGCAAAAGAACUAUAAAAUAUGUCAGUACAAUAGACCUAAGUGGCCAGAAGCAUCACCCCUGACCCCAAUAAAAUCUGGAAAACCCCAAACAAGAGAGAUGGAUUAACUGCUUUUUGAAUAAUUUUUGAUAGCUUUAUGCCUAUUAGCAUCUCCAAACUUUUUGUUCCUGAAGUGAGUGAGCAUUAUGGGGACCUGAGUGAAAGGUUCAGUAUUAUGACUAGAUAUCUAAAAGAACUAUCUCUUGUACUUGGAGCUUACCAUUAACAGGCAAAAAAGUCAUGGCCAUUGUCUACCAACAAGCUUUCUAUCCCUUUUGACCAAGCUAUCAAGUAUACAUCAAAAUUUUGACAAGAAAGCAUACACUGUCAUCUUUCUGGGAAGUACCUUGUGAAGCAUUGCUGAACACCUACAUGGCCAUCAAAAUAAAAAGAAAUAUUUCCUGGAUUCAUGCAAGUCAUGCCAAGCUAGACCCAGAUCAUAAUUUCCAGAAAAAUUGAAAAGCUAUUCUUACAGCUGACUUCAAACCAAGGAUUUUCAGGGCCAAUUCACAGGGUCCCAAAGCAGAUGACAACAUAAAGUGGACUAUUUUUUCCAAUAUCUUGGAUCAAGAACUACCUUUCCACCUAUUUUCCCUUGAUAUCUUUCUCUUCUCUGACCAAAGGAAAAAAAAGUAAAUAAAAACCUUAAAAACCUCUUUGAGCUUUAAACAGAAACCUUCCCCUUUAUUUAUUGAUGGACUGUCUAGAGAUUGCUACUUUUUUCUUCUUCUGUUUCUUCACAAUGAGAUAUUUUCUAAACUGUGUCUUGCUUCAACUAACCCUUAUGGCUUUUUUUGACAAUUCUAGCAUAAAUCCAGCACCUACUCGCGCCAGUCUUCUAAACACUGGCAACUUUCAUCAAUCCGAAUUUUGGUUAUGUCAACAUAUCGGUAUACAGAAGAAGCUAACUAGUUUUUGUUUCUGCCAAUGCAAACACCUGGUGGACACAGACUGGACUAUGGAUGUACAAAAGGGUAUGGUAUCUACAAACAGGAAGACAAAAAUCAUGCCACCUCUCUUUCUGGUAAACUGAUUUGGCGCUUGGAAAAUUCCAUGGAAGCUCAAGUUCUAUUCUUUGUUCAGGUGAUGUUAUUGAAUGGACAAAUUUCCCUUUUCAUUGGAAACAGAAAUGGUACUGGACCCUUUCUAGAUCUCUUGCCUCACAGCUUCUAACCCAAAUCUUAUUUCUACAGCAACCAACACAGCUUCUCGUUUGUAAAACUUCUCAAGAUGUUUCAAAAUGGAAGAAAUACCAAAACCCACAAAGAAUCCUUGAGUUGGUAUGGUUAUUUUUAGUUGAGGACAUUUGAGAUUCCACAGAUGCAGAAAAGAAUCUUCUCAGAGCUUCCUUCUUCUGAUUAAAAGCAGCCACUUCUGGGAAAUAAGGCUGGCAUAAAUCCUCUCUUGAGAGUGGCUUUACUCCCAGAAACAAGACCAAGGGUAAAUCUACCAUAAAUCCCCUCUCCAGGGGAGUUUGAUGGCCAUAAAGAAGAUGAAAAGAGUUCUCACACCUGCAUAAACAAAUGUUAUCACAAACUUUCUUAUCUCUUGUUUGUUCUCCCAAAAAACUAUUUGUCUUUCCUAAAGAAAUCCAUUUGUUUUCCUUAUAGAAGUCUUUUCUCCCGGCUUGCUUCUCCUAUUAAGUUAGAUAUAUAAACUUCUAAUUUAACUUUUAGGAAACUACUUCUUUUGUAAGCUCUUGUAUGCAAAUAAACUGUUUUAUUCUCUUGUUAAUGUGUAUUUUCACAGCAUAUCCUCCACCCAGAUCCUGAAUUUGAGAGGGUAGAGGAAAAGUUUUCCUCUCCAACACUUUCGUUCUCUGUCAAUGGCUUCACUGGAUUGCUAGUCUUCCUAUUAAAAGCGGCAAUUUAUUCUUCCAAAGUUAGUUUCUAAAUAAUAUUCCAUAGAAUUUUCUUUUUAAAUAACCAGGUAAUACCUACGUUGACAUCAAGAGAGCACCAUGGUCAGUAAUUUUAAUACCCCAGGAACAUACUUUUAAGUAUACAUUGUUUUUCAACCAAUAUUGGAAAGGGAAAGUUCCAAACCAUACUAAUUGGACCUACA